GCCCUCUUAGCUCAGUGGUAGAGCGCAUCACUCGUAUCUGCGGGAUCAUGAUGAGGUCAGUCGUUCAAGUCGGCUAGGGGGCA